rnacentral:rRNA from 1 species
CGAGACCCACGCCAACAGUUGCCAGCAUGUCUCCGGGAUGAUGGGGACGACUGUUGGGACCGGCCUCUGGCUAAAGAGGAGGAAAGGGAAUGGGCAACGGUAGGUCAGCAUGCCCCGAAUUAUCCGGGCUACACGCGGGCUACAAUGGUCAGGACAAUGGGUAUCGACACCGAGAGGUGGGGGCAAUCUCCUAAACCUGUCCUUAGUUCGGAUUGUGGGCUGCAACUCGCCCACAUGAAGCUGGAAUCCGUAGUAAUCGCGUUUCAAAAUAGCGCGGUGAAUAUGUCCCUGCUCCUU